rnacentral:ncRNA from 1 species
AAUCGUGAGGUUGGGGCUAAAGGAAGUGUGAAACAAAAUCGUGGCCUAACGAACAGAAACUUGAUACAAAGGCUACAUAAAGGGAUAAGGCUACAAAUCAAGUCGAAGUCCGAAAGAUACCCGUAACUUUAUGUAGUAAAUCAAGUAGGUAAACGAGGAAAGUUAUG